AUAUAUAUAAUUUCUAUAAAUUCACAGUACAUUUGCUAGCAAUCUGGAUACUAAGAUUUGCAGGUAACAAUUUUAGAGAAGUCUAGUAAUCAAUGGAUAGUGUAUUCCUUUUAGAAUGCACAUCAUUUGCUCUAAGGAGGAAAUGCCCAUAAAACUCUGAAUAUACAAUCUUUACCUUAGUGCCAUGUGUUUUAGCUGUACUACAUCUGUUUAACAGAGUACCACCAAAUGUAUAAUCUACUGCAUAUAUUGGCCACUUACAAUGCUGGAAAGAAACUUGGGCAGAAUGUUACUAAAAUCAGUUCUGGGGCAAAAUUCUAACAAUGAAACAAUGUUAGAGAGUCCAAUGGUCUCUAGUUUAAUUGUUACUUUAUGUAAUAUUGUUGCUGAAUUGUUCUCUCUAAAUAAUCACAAUUGUGCAUUACUGCAUGAAUAAGGACCUCCGUCUAGACCAUGUUCUGAAUUGUCUUAAAAACCUUUCAUGCACAAUCCCUAACAGUCACCCCCACUAAAGCCUCUGUCCUCCAGAGUCUCUUCCCCAUUUAAUGUCACUACAUGUAGUAGUCUCUUUAGCAACUGCCAGAAGACCGUUUUGGCAACUCUCAUUUCUGAACAUUUUCUAGUCGUGUUUCACAAAGUAGUUUGACGCUUUGGUGUAGCUAUACAAUGCAGGUAUAUCACUGAAAUACAAAAAAAGAUUGUGCCAAAGUCCUAAAACUUUAAGAUGGCUCCACCCACCCUUCAUCUCCUGCACACCAAUCUUUAACGUUUUUGGGGUUUGUUGGAUAUUUGAUAGGCACACUAAGAUAAAGAUCUGUUUCUGUAAUGAAAAUCCAAAUAAUAAUCUACUGUGCAUCAUUUAAAAAUGACAGAGGCUCAAAAAAAUAACCAAUGUUUUGACUCUUCCAACUUUUAUACUCUUGUAACUAAGGUAUAAAAUGACAAACAUGUACAUUUGUUACUUGCCACUUCUUUAUAAUGUGUUAUGUCAUGUUUGCAAAGUGCCUUAAAAUGUAAAUAACUGUAUAUUCUUGACGAGCAUCGUAAGGAUAGAAACAUGUCGAUGUUCAGUAAAAUUAUUCCUCUGUGUAUGUACUGUGUCUGUAAUUGUAGCGUUUUAGUUAGGCAUGAGCAGCUUAUUUAUACUAGGUAUGUAACAUUUACAUGCAUUAAUUUUGAAUUGUCAUUGUGUAAAUAUAUCGAUAUAUAUAUUUACACAAUAUAAAUUUAUAAUGUAAACUUGUGAUUACAAAAGCUCUGUUUUGGAACAUUUACUGUUAAACAGAAAUGUUUUGAAGUUGUAAACUCGUUGUUUUAUUGAUAGAAGUUGAUACACUAGUGACAUUACUAUCCAUGGAAAAAAAUAUUUAAAUGUCAUAAUUCCAUUUGAUCUCCUGCUAUGAACAACAAUGGCCAUGAAAAAAAACUUUUGGUUUUUUUUUUUUAAUUAAAAUUGUUAAAACAUCU